UAGAGGAUAGUAUAAUGGGUAGUACAUAAAGUUUUGAGCUUUAGUGUGUAGGUUCGUGUCCUGUUCUUCUA
rnacentral:tRNA from 1 species